AAAGAAAAUAAUAUAUUUAAAAUAAAGCUUCUAACUUUGUUUUGGGGGGUUAAAUUCCUUCCUUUCUUUU
rnacentral:tRNA from 1 species